rnacentral:rRNA from 1 species
AACGAACGCUGGCGGCAGGCUUAACACAUGCAAGUCGAACGCCCCGCAAGGGGAGUGGCAGACGGGUGAGUAACGCGUGGGAACAUACCCUUUUCUACGGAAUAGCUCUGGGAAACUGGAAUUAAUACCGUAUACGCCCUACGGGGGAAAGAUUUAUCGGGGAAGGAUUGGCCCGCGUUGGAUUAGCUAGUUGGUGGGGUAAAGGCCUACCAAGGCGACGAUCCAUAGCUGGUCUGAGAGGAUGAUCAGCCACAUUGGGACUGAGACACGGCCCAAACUCCUACGGGAGGCAGCAGUGGGGAAUAUUGGACAGUGGGCGCAAGCCUGAUCCAGCCAUGCCGCGUGAGUGAUGAAGGCCUUAGGGUUGUAAAGCUCUUUCACCGAUGAAGAUAAUGACGGUAGUCGGAGAAGAAGCCCCGGCUAGCUUCGUGCCAGCCGCCGCAGUAACAC